GGCCGCGCGACUAUAUCCUGGAUUAUAAAUAGACGAGUCCUCCGCUGCUUCGGGGUCUUUUUCUAGUGCGCAGCCUCUGUAGCUGGAUCCAUCUCUCCUGCGCCGCUGAGUUGAGCUAUAGACUCUUGACAGGUGCGGAAUGGGAGUGCACUGUCAAAGGAGCAGCGGGCUGAGCCUAUGAGAACGGGGCUGUCACGAAGACGUGGCUCAGGUGUAUGGCUGAAGCGAGCAGUGAGCCCGUGAAGAGACAGCGCAGCAGUCCUAGCGUGUUCCUGGUGUCAGGGAGAGCUGGCCAUCCUCUCAGCGGAAAGACUCACCAGCGCCAGCUGUUUCCCCUUCAGCAGAACAUCGGGGAGAGCAGUGAAACUGCCACCACUAGUUGACGAAUCCUAUGAUUGAAGGUCAGCCAAUGAAGUGCUGUGGGCGUGGCUACACCGGAAAACAUCGCGCAAUUGGCUGGAGCUGAUUGAGAAGUCAUCAGAGCUGUUUCCCUUCCGCCACACCUUAAUUUGGAAAUAAUGGAUCCACGGUAUAUAAACCUGAGCCCUGAACCGAAGGAAGAACACUGUCAGAGACCCUGAUACCUCUUGUGUCAGACACCUGCCAAGAUGAACAAGUUGGAGCUGUUUGAAGAAAGAGACUUCAAUGAGACCUCCAUCUCUCUGACUAAUGAUGUCGCUGACCUGUCACAACGCGGCUUCCAUAAUAAAGCCUCCUCAAUGUGCAUCACCGGGGAUGCCUGGGUCAUCUAUACAGACAAAAACUACAGCGGAGGCUUUGAAGUCUACAAGGAAGGACAGUACAGCUCCAUCCCUGACCUUGCCAACAAGAUCUCUUCUGUGAGGAUCAUUAAAAGUGGUCUGUAUAAUCCCCAGAUCACUGUGUAUGAGCACCCUGGCUAUCAAGGCAAGAUGGCGACCAUAACAGAGAAAACACGUUCACUGAAGUAUUAUGAUAUGGAUAAUGUGAUCUCAGCUCACGAAGUGCAGUCAGGAUGCUGGGUCCUGUAUGAGCAGGAAAAUUACCAGAGAAAAAGGAUGAUCGCACUGGCAGGAGAUGCCAUAGAUAACUAUUGUGUCUUAGGUUGGAAUAAUCUGGUGAGGUCUCUGAAACCUGCUGUGCCCUAUACUACACGUGUCUGACAUACAAGAGACCCCAAAUCGCUGCACAAGCUGGCCAAGAAAGCUCAGAGGAGAUAUCAAUGACCGCACAAUCAUCUGCACCUGGCUGACUCCUACCUUUUAUCACACUCCCUCAAUGAAAACCUGUUCCCACUACCAUGUGACCACAGACACACCUGUCCAGGAGCCUCAGCGAUUCCCACACACCUGUGACAGAUACACCUGUACAGGAGCCUCAGUGGUUCCCCACACACCUGUGACAUAUACACCUGUACAGUAUCCUCAGUGUUUCCCCACACACCUGUGACAGAUACACCUGUACAGGAGACUCAGUGGUUCCCCACACACCUGUGACAGAUACACCUGUACAGGAGCCUCAGUGAUUCCCCACACACCUGUGACAGAUACACCUGUACAGGAGCCUCAGUGGUUCCCCACACACCUGUGACAGAUACACCUGUACAGGAGCCUCAGUGGUACCCCACACACCUGUGACAUAUAUACCUGUACAGGAGCCUCAGUGGUUCCCCACACACCUGUGACAUAUAUACCUGUACAGGAGCCUCAGUGGUUCCCCACUCACCUGUGACAGAUACACCUGUAGAGGAGCCUCAGUGGUUCCCCACACACCUGUGACAGAUACACCUGUACAGGAGCCUCAGUGGUACCCCACACACCUGUGACAUAUAUACCUGUACAGGAGCCUCAGUGGUUCCCCACUCACCUGUGACAGAUACACCUGUACAGGAGCCUCAGUGGUUCCCCACACACCUGUGGCAGAUACACCUGUACAGGAUCCUCAGUGGUUCCCCACACACCUGUUGCAGAUACACCUGUACAGGAUCCUCAGUGGUUCCCCACACACCUGUGACAGAUACACCUGUACAGGAGCCUCAGUGGUACCCCACACACCUGUGACAUAUAUACCUGUACAGGAGCCUCAGUGGUUCCCCACACACCUGUGACAUAUAUACCUGUACAGGAGCCUCAGUGGUUCCCCACUCACCUGUGACAGAUACACCUGUACAGGAGCCUCAGUGGUUCCCCACACACCUGUGGCAGAUACACCUGUACAGGAUCCUCAGUGGUUCCCCACACACCUGUUGCAGAUACACCUGUACAGGAUCCUCAGUGGUUCCCCACACACCUGUGACAGAUACACCUGUACAGGAGCCUCAGUGGUUCCCCACACACCUGUGACAGAUACACCUGUACAGGAGACUCAGUGGUUCCCCAUACACCUGUGACAGAUAUACCUGUACAGAAGCCUCAGUGGUUCCCCACACACCUGUGACAGAUACACCUGUACAGAAGCCUCAGUGCUUCCCCACACACCUGUGACAGAUACACCUGUACAGGAGCCUCAGUGCUUCCCCACACACCUGUGACAGAUACACCUGUACAGGAGACUCAGUGGUUCCCCACACACCUGUGACAGAUACACCUGUACAGGAGCCUCAGAGCUUCCCCACUAACCUGUGACAGAUACACCUGGAUAGGAGCCUCAGCGAUUCCCCACACACCUGUGACAGAUACACCUGGACAGGAGCCUCAGUGGUUCCCCACACACUUGUGUCCUGUUUCCCUUGUCUGAGAGAGGCUGCCUCAGACUGGGACACAUCGUGCGUGGCACCCCAACUCAGAUGGACGAGACCAGGAGCAGUGAGAACAGUGACUUUAUAUUAUCAGAGGUGCUGCUGGUGAGGAACCUCCGGGUGGUGCUGGAGAAGUCUCUGACCCCUUGUACUGCCCCCACCAUCACCACUAAUCUGCUAUUCUAUUACCUGUGAUAUGAUGACAUUGUUACACCUGUGCUUAUGCUGCUGCAGUAGUAAUAAACCCCUCUGAGUGCA